CCUACGGGAGGCAGCAGUGGGGAAUAUUGGACAAUGGGCGAAAGCCUGAUCCAGCCAUGCCGCGUGUGUGAAGAAGGCCUUCGGGUUGUAAAGCACUUUCAGUGGGGAAGAAAGCCUUGGGGCUAAUACCCUCGAGGAAGGACAUCACCCACAGAAGAAGCACCGGCUAACUCCGUGCCAGCAGCCGCGGUAAUACGGAGGGUGCGAGCGUUAAUCGGAAUUACUGGGCAUAAAGCGCGCGUAGGCGGUCUGAUAAGCCGGUUGUGAAAGCCCCGGGCUCAACCUGGGAACGGCAUCCGGAACUGUCAGGCUAGAGUGCAGGAGAGGAAGGUAGAAUUCCCGGUGUAGCGGUGAAAUGCGUAGAGAUCGGGAGGAAUACCAGUGGCGAAGGCGGCCUUCUGGACUGACACUGACGCUGAGGUGCGAAAGCGUGGGUAGCAAACAGGAUUAGAUACCCGUGUAGUC
rnacentral:rRNA from 1 species